CCGGUUCAGGUGCUGCAUGGCUGUCGUCAGCUCGUGUCGUGAGAUGUUGGGUUAAGUCCCGCAACGAGCGCCAACCCCGCCUUUAGUUGCUACCGGGUCAUGCCGAGCACUCUAAAGGGACCGCCGGCGUUAAGCCGGAGGAAGGUGGGGAUGACGUCAAGUCCUCAUGGCCCUUAUGUCCAGGGCUACACACGUGCUACAAUGGGCGGUACAGAGGGUUGCCAACCCGCGGAGGGGGAGCCAAUCCCAGAAAGCCGUCCUCAGUUCAGAUUGGAGUCUGCAACUCGACUCCAUGAAGGUGGAAUCGCUAGUAAUCGCGGAUCAAGCAUGCCGCGGUGAAUACGUUCCCGGGCCUU
rnacentral:rRNA from 1 species